CCUACGGGAGGCAGCAGUGGGGGAUAUUGCACAAUGGGGGAAACCCUGAUGCAGCGACGCCGCGUGGGUGAAGAAGCGCCUCGGCGCGUAAAGCUCUGUCAGCAGGGAAGAAAAUGACGGUACCUGAGCAAGAAGCCCCGGCUAACUACGUGCCAGCAGCCGCGGUAAUACGCAGGGGGCAAGCGUUAUCCGGAUUUACUGGGUGUAAAGGGGGCGUAGACGGCUGUGCAAGUCAGGAGUGAAAGCCCGGGGCCCAACCCCGGGACUGCUCUUGAAACUGGCAGGCUUGAGUGCAGGAGAGGUAGGCGGAAUUCCUGGUGUAGCGGUGAAAUGCGUAGAUAUCAGGAGGAACACCGGUGGCGAAGGCGGCUUACUGGACUGUAACUGACGUUGAGGCGCGAAAGCGUGGGGAGCAAACAGGAUUAGAUACCCGAGUAGUC
rnacentral:rRNA from 1 species